UUUGCCCUGCAAACUUUAUUAACCUAAAAAGAUAAAAUACAUUAAAAGCGCACUUUCAAUAACUAUUCGUACUUGUAAACCAAAAAACGUAUUUUUAUUUAA